GAUGAACGCUGGCGGCGUGCUUAACACAUGCAAGUCGAACGGAAAGGCCUCUGCUUGCAGGGGUACUCGAGUGGCGAACGGGUGAGUAACACGUGGGUGAUCUGCCCUGCACUUCGGGAUAAGCCUGGGAAACUGGGUCUAAUACCGGAUAGGACAAUGGUUUGGAUGCUGUUGUGGAAAGUUUUUCGGUGUGGGAUGAGCUCGCGGCCUAUCAGCUUGUUGGUGGGGUAAUGGCCUACCAAGGCGUCGACGGGUAGCCGGCCUGAGAUGGUGUACGGCCACAUUGGGACUGAGAUACGGCCCAGACUCCUACGGGAGGCAGCAGUGGGGAAUAUUGCACAAUGGGCGCAAGCCUGAUGCAGCGACGCCGCGUGGGGGAUGACGGCCUUCGGGUUGUAAACUCCUUUCGCUAGGGACGAAGCGUUUUUGUGACGGUACCUGGAGAAGAAGCACCGGCUAACUACGUG
rnacentral:rRNA from 1 species